rnacentral:rRNA from 1 species
UCUUUUUGUAUUAAUUGAAAGUUGUACCUGCCCACUGAAAUAUUUUAAAGGGCCGCGGUAUUUUGACCGUGCAAAGGUAGCAUAAUCAUUAGUUUUUUAAUUGGGAACUGGAAUGAAUGGUUUGACGAGAUAAUAACUGUCUUAUAAUUAUAUAUUGAAUUUUACUUUUGAGUUAAAAGGCUCAAAUAAUAUUAAGGGACGAGAAGACCCUAUAGAUCUUUACAUUUAAUUUAUUUAUUAUUUUUAUAGUUGUUUAUUUAUUUGAAUAUAAAUUUGUUAUUUGUUUUGUUGGGGUGAUGUGAGAAUAUAUUAACUUCUUAAUAUUUUACUUUGAUAGAUGGUAAAAUGAUCCUUAAUUUUGGAAUUAAGAUUAAGAUACCUUAGGGAUAACAGCGUAAUUUUGUUGGAGAGUUCUUAUCGAUAACGAAGAUUGCGACCUCGAUGUUGGAUUAAGAUUAGAUUAAGGUGAAGGUGCUUUAGAUUUUGGUCUGUUC